rnacentral:rRNA from 1 species
ACGCUGGCGGCGUGCCUAAUACAUGCAAGUCGAGCGGACCGGAUUGGGGCUUGCCUUGAUUCGGUCAGCGGCGGACGGGUGAGUAACACGUGGGCAACCUGCCCGCAAGACCGGGAUAACUCCGGGAAACCGGAGCUAAUACCGGAUAACACCGAAGACCGCAUGGUCUUCGGUUGAAAGGCGGCCUUUGGGCUGUCACUUGCGGAUGGGCCCGCGGCGCAUUAGCUAGUUGGUGAGGUAACGGCUCACCAAGGCGACGAUGCGUAGCCGGCCUGAGAGGGUGACCGGCCACACUGGGACUGAGACACGGCCCAGACUCCUACGGGAGGCAGCAGUAGGGAAUCUUCCGCAAUGGGCGAAAGCCUGACGGAGCGACGCCGCGUGAGCGAAGAAGGCCUUCGGGUCGUAAAGCUCUGUUGUGAGGGACGAAGGAGCGCCGUUCGAAGAGGGCGGCGCGGUGACGGUACCUCACGAGAAAGCCCCGGCUAACUACGUGCCAGCAGCCGCGGUAAUACGUAGGGGGCGAGCGUUGUCCGGAAUUAUUGGGCGUAAAGCGCGCGCAGGCGGUCUCUUAAGUCUGAUGUGAAAGCCCACGGCUCAACCGUGGAGGGUCAUUGGAAACUGGGGGACUUGAGGGCAGGAGAGGAGAGCGGAAUUCCACGUGUAGCGGUGAAAUGCGUAGAGAUGUGGAGGAACACCAGUGGCGAAGGCGGCUCUCUGGCCUGCACCUGACGCUGAGGCGCGAAAGCGUGGGGAGCAAACAGGAUUAGAUACCCUGGUAGUCCACGCCGUAAACGAUGAGUGCUAAGUGUUAGAGGGGUCACACCCUUUAGUGCUGCAGCUAACGCGAUAAGCACUCCGCCUGGGGAGUACGGCCGCAGGCUGAACUCAAGGAAUUGACGGGGGCCCGCACAGCGUGGAGCAUGUGUUUAUCGAGCACGCGAGACUUACCAGUCUGACAUCCCUGACACCCAGAGAUUGGGCGUUCCCCUUCGGGGGACAGGGUGACUCCGCUUGGAACCGGCGCAAGCUAAAUCAAGGAAUAGACGGCCCACAGCGGUGAAACAU